UCAAUUGUCCCAAUGGGUGACAUUUUUGGGGGGGGGGGGGGCGGACACACUACUGACCGCGGUGUUUGGCGAACACCUGAAAUUGCCGCGAUUGCACGCUAUCGUAAACGGGAACACCCGUGAUCACCGCGAUGCUGCGCAGCCACCGUAAACACCUGUCUGUGAGAGUCAUUCACACGUUUUAAAUGUACAUGUACAAAAUAAAAUCAUAUACUUUAUGUACAUGUUGAUAUUAUGUGCACAUUUUUUAUGUGUACUUAAACUCGGGCAGUACGUUAAGUCGGAAACUGAAACUAAGCAUUUAGAUGAUCAAUACUAUUAACUUUUAUGGUGUUAAUCAAUGCAAUUGCCCUUUUUGUUUUCACAAAAUUGGGUUUCAUUUUUCCCGAUUUCCAGAAAAUGACUUGUACAUGUUGCAUGAAAUCUAAAUAUAGCGUGUUACAGCGUGUUUGAUUUUUAUUUUAUUCAGAUGAAAUGUCAAUUCCAAAUAAUUCGCAAGCUACCCCGGUACUUAGGAAGAAAUUCACUACGAAACUUUAAAUCGAAAUUAAAAGAUCCCAAUGUUGUCUGCGCUACAAAGAUUUUGUGUCAAAAAUAAAUACACCCAUGCCAAUUUUUGCGCGCUUUUUAUGGUUCAGAACAAAGAAAAUGAAAAUAUCAUGGGCAUAUAUACAUGUAUUUAUUUGUGGCUACAAUUUGUAACAGAACAUGAACUCUACACAAAGCGCACACUAGGCGUCAGGUGAUUUACGAAUGUUGCAAUACACCUGUUCUGAUUGGGCGCUUAUUACAUCAAAUCUUUAAAUAGAAACAUGCAGAAAUUCAUUUGAUAGUUUAGAGAUAUGGCGAAUGUUGUGAUUUUUGCGUUUCUAUCACACUUAUCUGUUUAAGCGAACACCGUAAAAUGAACACUGCAACGAGUGGCGUUUGUCAAAGUACACGUUGCCUGUACUGUAUGUGAUUGUGUGUUGUCUGGCGUCCGUGCGUGCGUCUCUCAACAGUUUGUGUAAACAGUAGAGGUCACAGUUUCAAUCCAGUCUUAUUUGGUCAAAAUGUUUAUUUUGAUGAAAUCUGGAUUGGGAUUGUUUUAGGGUUGUCUGGUAAAAAACUAGGUCACUAGGUCAAAAACUAGGUAACUAGGUCAAAUAAUAGAACAACCUUGUGUAAACAAUAGAGGUCACAGACAGACAAACAGACAGACAGACAGACUUUUUUAUUCAAGACUUGCACAUUGUACAUCGUCUAAACACAUAUAUUUACAACUUAUAUGUCAACAUGUUUUCAUCAAAUAUGUAUGAAAUUAAGUCAGAAUGUUAUCUUGAUGAAAUCUGGGUUGGAUUGUAUUUGGGUCAUUUGGGGUCAAAAACUAGGUCACUAGGUCAAAUGAUAGAAAAACCUUGUGUAGACAAUACAGGUCACAGUUUUCAUCCAAUCUUUAUGAAAUUUAACCGGAAUGUUUAUCUUGAUGAUAUCUGGAUUGGUGGUUUAUUUAGUUCAAAUAGGGUUAAAAACUAGGUCAAAUCAACAACGACGGGUAAGACACCCCCGAACUCAGAGUUUCGGUUCGAGGGUGGGGAGGUGCCGAUGUGUCACUCCUUAA